CUCCCCAUUUUCCCCGUUUUUCCUGAUGAUCUCUCCCCCUUUUUCCCGUUUUUUCCUGUUUUUUCCUGUUUUUCCCCAUUUUUCCCGCUGAUCUCUCCCCGUUUUUCCCGUUUUUCCCUUUUUCCCCCAUUUUUCCCGUUUUUCCCACUGAUCUCUCCCCGUUUUUCCCGUUUUUCCCAUCUUUUCCCAUUUUUCCCGUUUUUCCCGCUGAUCUGUCCCCAUUUUCCCCAUUUUUCCCGUUUUCCCCCGUUUUUCCCGCUGAUCUCUCCCCGUUUUUCCCCAUUUUUCCCAUUUCCUGCUGAUCUCUCCCCGUUUUUCCCAUUUUCCCCCGUUUUUCCCGUUUCCCACUGAUCUCUCCCCGUUUUUCCCGCUGAUCUCUCCCCAUUUUUCCCGUUUUUCCCCCGUUUUUCCCACUGAUCUCUCCCUGUUUUUCCCGUUUUUUCCCGUUUUUCCCGUUUUUUCCCAUUUUUUCUGCUGAUCUCUCCCCGUUUCCCCGCAGGGACCAGCGGGAGGAGGAGCUGGGCGAGUACUACAUGAAGAAAUACGCCAAGUCCUCGGUGGGGGAGACGUGAG
rnacentral:lncRNA from 12 species